rnacentral:tRNA from 1 species
UCCUCUGUAGUUCAGUCGGUAGAACGGCGAAUCCGUAUGUCACUGGUUCGAGUCCAGUCAGAGGAGCCA